rnacentral:rRNA from 1 species
GGCUCAGGAUGAACGCUGGCGGCGUGCUUAACACAUGCAAGUCGAACGAUGAACCUCACUUGUGGGGGGAUUAGUGGCGAACGGGUGAGUAACACGUGAGUAACCUGCCCUUGACUCUGGGAUAAGCCUGGGAAACCGGGUCUAAUACUGGAUACGACCUUCUGGCGCAUGCCAUGUUGGUGGAAAGCUUUUGUGGUUUUGGAUGGACUCGCGGCCUAUCAGCUUGUUGGUGGGGUAAUGGCCUACCAAGGCGACGACGGGUAGCCGGCCUGAGAGGGUGACCGGCCACACUGGGACUGAGACACGGCCCAGACUCCUACGGGAGGCAGCAGUGGGGAAUAUUGCACAAUGGGCGCAAGCCUGAUGCAGCGACGCCGCGUGAGGGAUGAAGGCCUUCGGGUUGUAAACCUCUUUCAGUAGGGAAGAAGCC